GUCCUGCUUCGAGAACUCUUCCGUAACCGAAACCGGAAGCGGGUCUCGGUGUUUGUGUUUGCUCUUAAGGGUGGGUCGAAGAAAAGUGACUGCCAGCAACAAAGUUGGAAAGGCCCAUAACUGCUGCCAACUUCUUCAAAUACAAGAAAGGAAGAACUAUUUCUAUAGCAGAACAUCACCCAAUGAAAGGAGAGUCCUAUUCCCCUAACUUCAUGUUACUAGUCCUGUGGCAGAACCAUUAAACAGGAAGAAAUCAAGAGAAAGGAAAGAAGUAUUUCUAUAGUACUACAUUUUUAAAAUAUCUUAUUUUUCAUUUGGUUCUCAGAAUACACCUCUCUAUAUUACAAAAGAAAAAAUAAUGUUUAAAAAAUAUGUAAUCCAAAAAGAAAAGGUAUCUGAAGAAGAAAAGAAGCUUUAUCUACAUCAAAAAGUUGGGAAAAUGGAAUAAUUUCACAAGAGAAGUGAAAGAAGGGCACCUGAACACCAGAACUGAAAAACCCAAUAAAGAUAUCUCAUGAAGACACUUGAAAAGGAUCCACACUGUGAACAGAAGGCAGCCACCUCUCCCAAGUAACGAUAAUGUGGAGCCAUAGGUGCUAUCAGCUAAGAGAUCUAGUAAAUAUCAGAGGAAGAAGAAAUAAAUUGUAUGGGUAAUUUCCUGCUGACAGAGAAUAAAGCCAUGCUAUUUGUUGACCUGAUAACAAUGAAGAAGAAGGCAAUCAUCUUCCUCAAGGACUUGUCACAGCCAAUAAUACCCACUUCAAGUAAUUGACUUGAACAUAAAUGCUGCUACAAGGAGAGGGGGCAAGCCAUCCUCAUCAUUAGGUAUAAGGUUGAUAUCUUUCCUAACACAUUUAUCAAUACCACACAGCAACCUAUAAUCU